CAUUCCUCUGCUGACAGUGAAGAGGUCAUGCUAAAUCAAAUUGAUGCAGAAACUGGACAGUAUCUUUACCCAGGAUGUCCAAAUUAAUUCUACCAAAACAAGAGGUGCCAGUACAGAGAAAGAUGAAUCAUUUAUUAGUGGGAGGCCUGACACAUGAUGAAAUCACUAUCUGACACUUCAAUGACUUCCAAUGUUGUUCUGUGAACAUUCAGCAAAGCACAGAUGAUGUGAUGUUGCAGUUCUGUGGGUAGUGUUCUCUUCUUUUUUUUUCAAAAGGGAUGAAAUGCUUUAUCAUCAUAGUGUGUGAGAACUUCCCCAUUUGGUAUGAAUAGCCUUUGCCUAUUAUUAAGAGUGAUUCAGAAGUUCUGAUGUAGAGGAAAAAAUAGAACACAUCUGCAACUGGCAGAGAAGAUCUUUAGACUUUUCUUGAGAAUCAGUGAAGAAGCAGAACUCAAUCCACUUUUUUUUUUCUUUUUUUUUUUCCGGGGGGGAGGGGACCGGGACAUGACAGAUAACAUUCUUGGCUUGAGUGUUAAUACAGUUUGGAACAUUCCUCUUAUGACAGAGCAUGCAAAUAUCCAUUAAGUUACAAAUGAGAUGCACCUAAGGGGCAGUUCUGUGCUGGCCACUGGAUUACCCCCUGAACAGGGCAGUGGUUUCAACCCAAAGACAAUUAGGAUAUAACUUGGCAUCUGACAAUAAAGUAAUUGGCAAUAAAUGACUGGCCGUUUGA
rnacentral:lncRNA from 1 species